AACCCUAAUGCUGGCUGAAAGGAAAAAGUUCAGUUUAGGUUUUAAAACCCUAAUGCUGACUAAAGGAAAAGUUUAGUUUAGGGUUUAAAACCCUAAUGCUGACUAAAAGGAUAAUUCAUUUUAGGGUUUAAAACCCUAAUGCUGAUUACAUGGAAAAGCUCAGUUUAGGGUUUAAAACCCUAAUACUGGCUGAAUGGAAAAAGUUCAGUUUAGGGUUUAAAACCCUAAUGCUGACUAAAAGGAAAAUUCAGUUUAGGGUUUAUAACCCUAAUGCUGACUGAAAGAAAAAGUUCAGUUUAGGGUUUAAAUCCCUAAUGCUGACUGAAAGAAAAAGUUCAGUUUAGGGUUUAAAACCCUAAUGCUGACAGGAAGGAAAAGUUCAGUUUAGGGUUUAAAACCCUAAUGCUGACUAAAAGGAAAAUUCUGUUUAGGGUUUAAAACCCUAAUGCUGAUUACAUGGAAAAGCUCAGUUUAGGGUUUAAAACCCUAAUGCUGGCUGAAUGGAAAAAGUUCAGUUUAGGGUUUAAAACCCUAAUGCUGAUUGCAUGGAAAAGCUCAGUUUAGGGUUUAAAACCCUAAUACUGGCUGAAUGGAAAAAGUUCAGUUUAGGGUUUAAAACCCUAAUGCUAACUAAAAGGAAAAUUCAGUUUAGAGUUUAAAACCCUAAUGCUGACUGAAAGAAAAAGUUCAGUUUAGGGUUUAAAACUCUAAUGCAGCCUGAAAGAAAAAGUUCAGUUUAGGGUUUAAAACCCUAAUGCUGACUGGAAGGAAAAGUUCAGUUUAGGGUUUAAAACCCUAAUGCUGAUUGCAUGGAAAAGCUCAGUUUAGGGUUUAAAACCUUAAUGCUGGCUGAAAGGAAAAAGAUCAGUUUAGGGUUUAAAACCCUAAUGCUGAUUGCAUGGAAAAGCUCAGUUUAGGGUUUAAAAACCUAAUGCUGACUAAAAGGAAAAGUUCAGUUUAGGGUUUAAAACCCUAAUGCUGAUUGCAUGGAAAAGCUCAGUUUAGGGUCUAAAACCCUAAUGCUGGCUGAAAGGAAAAAGUUCAGUUUAGGGUUUAAAACCCUAAUGUUGACUAAAAGGAAAAGUUCAGUUUAGGGUUUAAAACUCUAAUGCUGAUUGCAUGGAAAAGCUCAGUUUAGGGUUUAAAAC
rnacentral:lncRNA from 1 species